AACAGCCAGUGGAAAUUGUGGAUGCCAAGGAACGAGUAACCCGAAACAAAGUCGUCAGAACCUACAAGGUGGUGUGGAGUCAUCAUGACGAUCGGGAUGCCACCUGGGAAACUGAGGAUUAUCUCAAAACAGUUUAUCCAAAAUUUCAUAAGAAAUGGUUAGUAACCCAAAUCUCGGGACGAGAUUUCCCUAAGGGGGGAAGGGCUGUAACACCCUAGGUGUUAAGCAUGCACUUGGCACUUAUCAAAGCAAUGCAUGAGCAUUCUCAUCAAGCAUAGCAUCAUGAGCAUGUCAUUCAUCCCAAAAUAUGAUUUUAUGUGCUUUAUUACAUGUGCUUUAAAUAUGCUAAAAAUAUGAUGCUUGCUUGUAAAAUUAUGAAAUAUUCAAAAUAGGUUGAUUUAUGGGUAAGAAGAAUUAAGAAUAUUUUUGUGCAAUUUUUGGAGCUAUAGAAUUUGAGAAAUGGAAUUUAUACAAAAUUCCCAAAAUGAAUUUAUUUAAAAACCUAGAACUAGUUUUAAUUUGUAAUUCAAAUUCUAUUGGGAAUUUGGUCUUGCUUAUUAAAACAAAGUUGUAGGGUUUUUGUUUUAGAACAAUGUUGCUUUUGGGAGCAAGAGGUGAAAAUGAAUUUAAAUUGGUCCAAAUGAAUUUAGAAAAUAAUUUGAGAAAAGAAAAUAAAAAAAAUGGAAAAGGGG
rnacentral:lncRNA from 1 species